GGCAGGCACCUAGGAAGCCACUGGCUAGUGAUGAGCCAACCUCAUCUGCUUUGUCAGAGGGUUUGUAGGUGAGCUGUUUAAAGGAGCCCUUGGUGAGUAGGUCCAGGAGCAAGAGGGGCAGAGUAGGCCGGGUGCUGAGGCACCACCAAGGUGGUGGAGGAGGGAAGGGCCAGCAUGCAUCCAACCCUGAAAAGCCGGAGAUGCUCUUGGGACCCAGACCCACUGCCUUAUCUGGAAUACUGCCCUGCUCCCACUCCCACUGAGGUUGAUGCAGCAGCCCUGAGCUUUUCCUGCCCCUUCACUUCCCGCCUCCUCUUAGCUGACCUUGACCCUGUCCGCUGCAACAAGAAUUGCCAAACUCUUCUCAGAUGUGUUGUCAAAAUCAGCAUGCAUGGCAGGCAAGUGGCGGCCACAGCCCAUUUAUAACUCCUGAGAAGAGCUCUAAAGGUUGAUGAUGAAAAGAUGAGAACGCCAAGACCCCACAGGAUCAGUAGGUGCAUUGCCCAAGAUCUCGGGAGGUAAAAUGUCCUCGUGGAACUGGAGCACUGUGAGCCUGCUCAGGCUUCCAGAACUGCUGCAAGGUCACCACCUCCUGGAAGCCCUUCCAGAUGGCCCCUGCAACAUGUGACCUCCGGAUGCGGGUUUGCACACCAACUACACUAAGCCCCACAAUGUCUACAGCUUAGCACUGCAGGUGCAGCACCUGUCCCAGCAGACCUCCGCACGCCCCUCUAAGGCAUCCAGCGCAAAGCUCUUCUGCACAAAGCAAGGUGCUGAGCAGACAGUGGGUAUCUGGGCCUUCCUCUCCAGAUAAAAAGCAUCUGGAAAGGGGGAACAAUUGCUUGUAUGGUCAUUCAUUUGUUCAUUUGUUCAUUUAUUCAUUCACUCAUUCACCGAGCAUGUACUUGAGUUCCCGUGUGCCAGGCACUGGACAGGACAUUCUGGAUCCAGACAAGAACCACGCCAGAGCCCCAUCUCUGAGGACUCACGGGGACUUAGAUCACAUCUGAAAAAUCUCUUUCCGGCACAGCGCAUUUGGAAGUGGCUAGAAAUGUCAGAGACUCGCGGGGCUCCCAAAUUCUGUUGGUGUUCUCCACCGCUGGCACUCAAGUUUGAGACUUUCCUUGCCUUGAAUAUUCAUUGGACACUUCUGUUGUUGCAUUUAACCAAAAUAAAAAUCUACUUCGGCUUGGUCCUCUCCGGGAAAGGGCUUGGUGAGCAGUUUUCUGACAGUUGUAUAUUAAAUGCAGGUGACUUCAUGAAUGCACUUUCUGUCUGGCUCAGGACAUUAACCAUAACCCACAGUUUCUUCCAAAGGAACUGGAAUGAAUUAAAUUGUUUAAUAAAACCUUACUUACCUGGAUAAACUCAUUUCUAUUUUGCAUUUAGAUUCCCUAAUGCAUCUUUCCAGAUUGUUAUUUGUAAAAUAAAAAGCUAGACGUGUUUACUUAGAAAGCCAAACAUCAGACCCUAAUCCUGGUUCCUAUCCAACUUCUUUUUUUUUUU